rnacentral:rRNA from 1 species
UACGGAGGAUGCAAGCGUUAUCCGGAAUUAUUGGGCGUAAAGCGUCCGCAGGUGGUUUAUCAAGUCUGCUGUUAAAUCGUAGGGCUUAACCCUAUAAAGGCAGUGGAAACUGAGAGACUAGAGUACGGUAGGGGUAGCGGGAAUUCCCAGUGUAGCGGUGAAAUGCGUAGAUAUUGGGAAGAACACCAGCGGCGAAGGCGCGCUACUGGGCCGAAACUGACACUCAUGGACGAAAGCUAGGGGAGCGAAAGGG